UACGGAGGGUGCAAGCGUUAUCCGGAUUCACUGGGUUUAAAGGAUGCGUAGGUGGGCAAGUAAGUCAGUGGUGAAAUCUCCGGGCUUAACCCGGAAACUGCCAUUGAUACUAUUUGUCUUGAAUACUGUGGAGGUCAACGGAAUAUGUCAUGUAGCGGUGAAAUGCUUAGAUAUGACAUAGAACACCAAUUGCGAAGGCAGCUGGCUACACAAAUAUUGACACUGAGGCACGAAAGCGUGGGGAUCAAACAGG
rnacentral:rRNA from 1 species